rnacentral:tRNA from 1 species
GGUGAUGUCGCUCAGUGGUAGAAGCACGUACUUUGCAUGUACAAGGCCAUGGGUUCAAUCCCCAAUACCACCA